GACGAACGCUGGCGGCGUGCCUAAUACAUGCAAGUAGAACGCUGAAGGAGGAGCUUGCUCUUCUGGAUGAGUUGCGAACGGGUGAGUAACGCGUAGGUAACCUGCCUGGUAGCGGGGGAUAACUAUUGGAAACGAUAGCUAAUACCGCAUAAGAGUAGAUGUUGCAUGACAUUUGCUUAAAAGGUGCAAUUGCAUCACUACCAGAUGGACCUGCGUUGUAUUAGCUAGUUGGUGGGGUAACGGCUCACCAAGGCGACGAUACAUAGCCGACCUGAGAGGGUGAUCGGCCACACUGGGACUGAGACACGGCCCAGACUCCUACGGGAGGCAGCAGUAGGGAAUCUUCGGCAAUGGACGGAAGUCUGACCGAGCAACGCCGCGUGAGUGAAGAAGGUUUUCGGAUCGUAAAGCUCUGUUGUAAGAGAAGAACGAGUGUGAGAGUGGAAAGUUCACACUGUGACGGUAUCUUACCAGAAAGAGACGGCUAACUACGUG
rnacentral:rRNA from 1 species